rnacentral:rRNA from 1 species
UGGGGAAUAUUGCACAAUGGGCGCAAGCCUGAUGCAGCCAUGCCGCGUGUAUGAAGAAGGCCUUCGGGUUGUAAAGUACUUUCAGCGGGGAGGAAGGCGAUAAGGUUAAUAACCUUGUCGAUUGACGUUACCCGCAGAAGAAGCACCGGCUAACUCCGUGCCAGCAGCCGCGGUAAUACGGAGGGUGCAAGCGUUAAUCGGAAUUACUGGGCGUAAAGCGCACGCAGGCGGUCUGUCAAGUCGGAUGUGAAAUCCCCGGGCUCAACCUGGGAACUGCAUUCGAAACUGGCAGGCUAGAGUCUUGUAGAGGGGGGUAGAAUUCCAGGUGUAGCGGUGAAAUGCGUAGAGAUCUGGAGGAAUACCGGUGGCGAAGGCGGCCCCCUGGACAAAGACUGACGCUCAGAUGCGAAAGCGUGGGGAGCAAACA